UACGGGGGGAGCAAGCGUUGUUCGGAUUUACUGGGCGUAAAGGGCGCGUAGGCGGUCAGCACAAGUCAGUUGUGAAAUCUCCGGGCUUAACUCGGAAAGGUCAACUGAUACUGUGCGACUAGAGUGCAGAAGGGGCAACUGGAAUUCUCGGUGUAGCGGUGAAAUGCGUAGAUAUCGGGAGGAACACCGGUGGCGAAGGCGGUUCUCUGGGCCUGUACUGACGCUGAGGAGCGAAAGCGUGGGGAGCGAACAGG
rnacentral:rRNA from 1 species